rnacentral:rRNA from 1 species
AUGAGAAGACGAAGACAAGGAAAGGUAAACUUAAACGACCAGGCUGCCACCAAUAGACUGGAAGAAGAUGAACUGGUCUGGAGAUUAGAGGAGAAGAGUUCAGAGUUCACUCUCUUUGACUUUUCUGAGAUAUUACAUGCUACACAUAACUUCUCCAAAGAAAAUCUACUUGGACAAGGUGGUUUUGGCCCUGUCUACAAGGGCCAAUUACCAGAUGGAAUGCAAAUUGCAGUCAAAAGGCUUGCCUCACAUUCAGGACAGGGUUUUACAGAAUUCAAAAAUGAAGUUGAACUUAUUGCAAAAUUACAGCACAAUAAUCUUGUCAAGCUCUUGGGAUGCUGCAUUCAGGGAGAGGAAAAACUAUUGGUGUACGAGUAUUUGCCAAAUAAGAGCUUGGACUUCUUUAUAUUUGAAAGAAACAGGACAGCUUUUAUUGAUUGGAACAAUAGACGUGCGAUAAUCGAAGGGAUAGCCCAAGGUCUUCUGUAUCUCCACAAGCACUCUCGGUUACACAUCAUACACAGAGACCUUAAGGCCAGUAACAUUCUUUUGGACAAGGACAUGAAUCCAAAAUUUUCUGAUUUUGGCCUAGCAAAAAUAUUCAGCUCCAAUGAUAUCCAAGGAAGCACAAAGAGGGUAGUAGGAACAUAUGGUUAUAUGUCUCCGGAGUAUGCAUCUGAAGGCAUUUACUCAAUCAAAUCAGAUGUGUUCAUCUUUGGUGUGUUACUCCUUGAGAUCCUUAGCGGAAAAGGGAAUUCUGGUUUCUAUCAGUAUGGAGACUUUCUUAACCUUAUUGGAUAUUCAUGGCAACUAUGGGAAGGAGGAACAUGGGUUGAGCUUCUAGAUGCAUCAAUUGUAAAGGAGAUCUGUACAUCAGAUGCUAGGCGGUACAUUAACAUUGCACUGACGUGUGUACAAGAAAGUGCAGAUGAUCGACCCACCAUGUCAGAUGUCGGUGCAAUGUUAAACAGCGAGAGUGUUAUUCUUCCAGAUCCAAAUCAUCCAGGAUACUUCAACCUAACGGUAUCUAAGACACAUGAAUUUUUUGUCCCAUGUAGUAAUAAUGAUGUAACCAUCACCGAGGAGCCAGAUGGUAGAUAG